rnacentral:rRNA from 1 species
AUUGAACGCUGGCGGCAGGCCUAAUACAUGCAAGUCGAGCGGAUGAAGGGAGAUUGUUCUUGGAUUAAGUGGCGGACGGGCGAGUAAUGCCCAGGUAUCUGACCGGCAGUGGGGGAUAACGUAAGGACAGGGGCGCUAAUACCGCACCGGAUAUGAGGGUGAAAGGGGGGGAUCUUUGGAGAUCAAGCUAUUUGCUGUGCCUUGGUCGGAUUAGCUAGUUGGUGUGGUAAAGGCCUACCAAGGCGACGAUCCGUAGCAGAUCUGAGAGGAUGAUCAGUCACACUGGAACUGAGACACGGUCCAGACUCCUACGGGAGGCAGCAGUAGGGAAUAUUGGGCAAAGGGCGAAAGCCUGAUGCAGCCAUGCCGCGUGUGUGAAGAAGGUCUUCGGAUUGUAAAGCACUUUAAUUUGGGAAGAACGACUGUGAAAUAAUACCUGGCUGUUUUGACGUUACCUACAGAAAAAGCACCGGCUAACUACGUG